rnacentral:rRNA from 1 species
UACGAAGGGGGCUAGCGUUGCUCGGAAUUACUGGGCGUAAAGCGCACGUAGGCGGCUUCUUAAGUCGGUGGUGAAAUCCUGGAGCUCAACUCCAGAACUGCCUCGAUACUGGGAGCUCGAGUCCGGGAGAGGUGAGUGGAACUGCGAAGUGUAGAGGUGAAAUUCGUAGAAUAUUCGCAAGAACACCAGUGGCGAAGGCGGCUCACUGGCCCGGUACUGACGCUGAGGUGCGAAAGCGUGGG